UACGUAGGUGGCAAGCGUUGUCCGGAAUUACUGGGCGUAAAGAGCGCGCAGGCGGCUGGUCAAGUCCGAUGUGAAAGCUCCCGGCUUAACUGGGAAAUUGCAUCGGAAACUGAUCGGCUUGAAGGUGGGAGAGGGUAGUGGAAUUCCCGGUGUAGUGGUGAAAUGCGUAGAUAUCGGGAGGAACACCAGUGGCGAAGGCGACUACCUGGCCCACUCUUGACGCUGAGGAGCGAAAGCGUGGGUAGCAAACAGG
rnacentral:rRNA from 1 species